rnacentral:hammerhead_ribozyme from 1 species
AUCUAGCUGACGAGUCUCAAACAGGACGAAAUGCGCGUCCUGGAU